AGGCGUCGACGGGUAGCCGGCCUGAGAGGGCGACCGGCCACACUGGGACUGAGACACGGCCCAGACUCCUACGGGAGGCAGCAGUGGGGAAUAUUGCACAAUGGGCGAAAGCCUGAUGCAGCGACGCCACGUGAGGGAUGACGGCCUUCGGGUUGUAAACCUCUUUCAGCAGGGAAGAAGCGCAAGUGACGGUACCUGCAGAAGAAGCGCCGGCUAACUACGUGCCAGCAGCCGCGGUAAUACGUAGGGCGCAAGCGUUGUCCGGAAUUAUUGGGCGUAAAGAGCUCGUAGGCGGUCUGUCGCGUCUGGUGUGAAAUCCCAUGGCUCAACUGUGGGCUUGCAUCGGGUACGGGCAGACUAGAGUGCUGUAGGGGAGACUGGAAUUCCUGGUGUAGCGGUGGAAUGCGCAGAUAUCAGGAGGAACACCGAUGGCGAAGGCAGGUCUCUGGGCAGUUACUGACGCUGAGGAGCGAAAGCAUGGGGAGCGAACAGGAUUAGAUACCCUGGUAGUCCAUGCCGUAAACGUUGGGCACUAGGUGUGGGGCCAGUUCCACUGGUUCUGUGCCGCAGCUAACGCAUUAAGUGCCCCGCCUGGGGAGUACGGCCGCAAGGCUAAAACUCAAAGGAAUUGACGGGGGCCCGCACAAGCGGCGGAGCAUGCGGAUUAAUUCGAUGCAACGCGAAGAACCUUACCAAGGCUUGACAUGUACGAGAAAGCCCCAGAGAUGGGGUUCUCUUUGGACACUCGUACACAGGUGGUGCAUGGUUGUCGUCAGCUCGUGUCGUGAGAUGUUGGGUUAAGUCCCGCAACGAGCGCAACCCUUAUCCUAUGUUGCCAGCGGGUUAUGCCGGGGACUCAUGGGAGACUGCCGGGGUCAACUCGGAGGAAGGUGGGGAUGACGUCAAAUCAUCAUGCCCCUUAUGUCUUGGGCUUCACGCAUGCUACAAUGGCCGGUACAGAGGGCUGCGAUACCGUGAGGUGGAGCGAAUCCCAAAAAGCCGGUCUCAGUUCGGAUCGGGGUCUGCAACUCGACCCCGUGAAGUCGGAGUCGCUAGUAAUCGCAGAUCAGCAACGCUGCGGUGAAUACGUUCCCGGGCCUUGUACACACCGCCCGUCAAGUCACGAAAGUUGGUAACACCCGAAG
rnacentral:rRNA from 1 species